rnacentral:RNase_MRP_RNA from 13 species
AUGCUGCGGGGAAAGUCCCCGUGCCUUGGGGCAGAGAGUGCCAGCGGGAGACCGCAGGGCCUGAGGCAUGCCGCGCGUGGUGAUGCCAUCUGGUGGAGCCGCAGCGGCAGACUUGGGCCAGUUGCAGCAGCACAGCCAUGCCGUGAGCGCUCACACAAGAGCGCCAACAGAACAGGGCUCACUCUC